rnacentral:rRNA from 1 species
CCUACGGGAGGCAGCAGUGGGGAAUAUUGGGCAAUGGGCGCAAGCCUGACCCAGCAACGCCGCGUGAAGGAAGAAGGCUUUCGGGUUGUAAACUUCUUUUAAGAGGGAAGAAGAUGACAGUACCUGACUAAGAAGCCCCGGCUAACUACGUGCCAGCAGCCGCGGUAAUACGUAGGGGGCAAGCGUUAUCCGGAUUUACUGGGUGUAAAGGGAGCGUAGGUGGCAUGGCAAGCCAGAAGUGAAAACCCGGGGCUUAACCCCGCGGAUUGCUUUUGGAACUGUCAGGCUGGAGUGCAGGAGGGGCAGGCGGAAUUCCUGGUGUAGCGGUGAAAUGCGUAGAUAUCAGGAGGAACACCGGUGGCGAAGGCGGCCUGCUGGACUGUAACUGACACUGAGGCUCGAAAGCGUGGGGAGCAAACAGGAUUAGAUACCCCUGUAGUC